AAAGUCGUAACAAGGUUUCCGUAGGUGAACCUGCGGAAGGAUCAUCAAUAAUCCAUCCGAUUAGUGGCCUCAAAACCACUAAUCAAACCAUCUUGUGAACCGUUUUAUGUUUAUCGGUUGGGAGUAUAACUGUGAUGGCAACUUUGGUUGUUGGAACGACUCUCAAUCGGUUAUCUUUAUACAAACUAUUUUGUUUUUGAAGUUGGUUAUUAUACAGGCAACUGUACUAAUAUAAAUACAACUUAUAGCGAUGGAUCUCUAGGCUCUG
rnacentral:misc_RNA from 1 species